UAUGAGCCAGCUUCCUCCCUUCUUCUGGUUUGUACACUCACACGGCUUCCCUGUGUGUGACGGAGGCUGUGCAGUGGAAGACCCACCUGGGAGUGGGCAGCUGACAGAUGACAGGUUGACAGUUCGAGGUGUUAGAUUAACUUGAAUGUGUUCUGUUCUGGAACAUCUAACACCGACAGGGCCUGUAGGAAAAUGAUAUUCUUAAAAAAAUGGUUUUAUAGUUUCUUUUCAUGAAAACACACAAACAAGCAGAAGCCACCAGGACCUGUACCAGCCUCCCUGGGAGGGUGAAGAGCACUUGGCUGUAGUGGAAAUGUGCUGCUCGUGUUCGUGGCCCGUUAUCCGGGAAGUCAGGGAAGGAAUUUGACGCCAGAACCUGGAGGCAGGAAUUGCAGGAGAGACCACAGAAGAGAUCUGCUUACUGGCUUGUUCUUCAUAGAUGAGGAAGCAGAGGCGGAGCCUGAAGUGCCCUGCCCAAGGUUGCAAUGCUGAGCCACCCUCUUCCCGGUGACUUCAAGGAGAACAACAAGGGGUGCAGUCAGCAGCUUGCGGAACGAGGCUGAGGAGGUGGCCGAUGUCUCCAUCUUCCUGGUCUUUCACCUUUCUGAGUUGUCCAGUGUGAGCCAAGACCUGCGGGGCUGUGAAGCUUCUUGGGGCUGUAACACUUGAAACAUCUCUUGGCUAGCAUCUUACUACCCAAGCUCAAAAGUUUCUGUUUCAUUCAAGCUAUCACUUCCCUAUCAUGACUUAUUUUUCCUUUUUAAAGUUGAAUUAAUAAAUUUCUCCUGGGUUGAACAUUC